rnacentral:rRNA from 1 species
UGCAGUCGCACGAGAAGGGGAGCAAUCCCUGAGUACAGUGGCGCACGGGUGAGUAACACGUGACUAACCUACCCUCGAGUGGGGAAUAACCUAGGGAAACCUGGGCUAAUACCGCAUAACACUUACGAGUCAAAGCAGCAAUGCGCUUGGGGAGGGGGUCGCGGCCGAUUAGCUAGUUGGCGGGGUAAUGGCCCACCAAGGCAAUGAUCGGUAUCCGGCCUGAGAGGGCGCACGGACACACUGGAACUGAAACACGGUCCAGACUCCUACGGGAGGCAGCAGUGGGGAAUUUUGCGCAAUGGGGGAAACCCUGACGCAGCAACGCCGCGUGGAGGAUGAAGUCUCUUGGGACGUAAACUCCUUUCGAUCGGGAAGAUAAUGACGGUACCGAUAGAAGAAGCCCCGGCUAACUUCGUGCCAGCAGCCGCGGUAAUACGAGGGGGGCAAGCGUUGUUCGGAAUUAUUGGGCGUAAAGGGUGCGUAGGCGGUCUGGUAAGUCUUGUGUGAAAUCUUCAGGCUCAACCUGAAGUCUGCAUGGGAAACUACCGGGCUUGAGUAUGGGAGAGGUGAGUGGAAUUUCCGGUGUAGCGGUGAAAUGCGUAGAUAUCGGAAGGAACACCUGUGGCGAAAGCGGCUCACUGGACCAUAACUGACGCUGAGGUACGAAAGCUAGGGGAGCAAACAGGAUUAGAUACCCUGGUAGUCCUAGCCCUAAACGAUGAUCGCUUGGUGUGACGGGUAUCC